GCUGGGCACGGUGGCACGUGCCUGUACUCCCAGCUACUCAGGAGGCUGAGGUGGGAGGAUCGCUUGAGCCCAGUUCUGGGCUGUGGUGCGCUAUGCCGAUCAGGUGUCCGCACUAAGUUCGGCAUCAAUAUGGUGACCUCCCAGGAGCGGGUGACCUCCCGGGAGCGGGGGACCACCAGGUUGCCUAAGGAGGGGUGAACCGGCCCAGGCUGGAAACGAAGCAGGUCAAAACUCCCUUACUGAUCAGUAGUGGGAUCGCGCCUGUGAAUAGCCAAUGCCCUCCAGCCUAGGCAACAUAGCAAGACCCUGUCUCUA
ensembl:misc_RNA Metazoa_SRP Metazoan signal recognition particle RNA